AUUGAACGCUGGCGGCAGGCUUAACACAUGCAAGUCGAACGAGUGGCGGACGGGUGAGUAAUGCUUGGGAAUCUAGCUUAUGGAGGGGGAUAACUACGGGAAACGGUAGCUAAUACCGCGUACCAUAGGAUGAGCCCAGGUGGGAUUAGGUAGUUGGUGAGGUAAAGGCUCACCAAGGCGACGAUCCCUAGCUGGUCUGAGAGGAUGAACAGCCACACUGGAACUGAGACACGGCCCAGACUCCUACGGGAGGCAGCAGUGGGGAAUAUUGCGCAAUGGGGGCAACCUGACGCAGCCAUGCCGCGUGUAUGAAGAAGGCCUUCGGGUUGUAAAGUACUUUCGGUAGCGAGGCGUUACCUACAGAAGAAGCACCGGCUAACUCCGUGCCAGCAGCCGCGGUAAUUC
rnacentral:rRNA from 1 species